rnacentral:lncRNA from 13 species
AUGCUCGCCCGGAGGGACGGGGGGGGGCUUCGGGGAUCCCGGGGGGGGCUGCGAGGCUCUCCCUGCCCGGGCCGCACACCUCGCUCCGGGGCUUUGCUGAGCCCAGGAGCCCCUCUCCUUCCACGGGGGGCUCAGUGCCGGGAUGCAGCGAGGCACGUGUGGAGCCAGGCAGAAGCCUCGGUGGGAACAGGAGCGUGUGCCGGGGACACGCUGUCCCCGGAGCUCCCGGGCCCCUGCCCUCGCCGCCAGCCCUGCCGCUCCCCGAGCUGUUUGGGCUUAGAGCGAGCUGGGGAGACGGGGCCCGCUCCCGGGGGCGGAACCGCAACCCCCCACCCGUGCCCGCUGCGGGAAGGGAUCCCACUCGUGUCGGGGACGGCACCGUGUCCUUUCCGACACGCAUCACAGCCCGCGGCCAGCACACCUCGGCACCGGCCCUUCAAAAUUCGUUCUCUCUCUCUCUCUUUCUUUUUUUUCCCCCACCCUCUUUCCAUCAUUUUUUUAAUUUUAGGGGAUUUUUUUCCUCCCCUUUCUCCCCCUUUCCUGGGCUGGCAAAGCGGCGCAGCCCGGCCUUACCGCCCCGCUCCGUGCCCGCCGGUGGCUGCGGGAGCCCCGCUCCAGCCCGGCCGCUGCCGCCUCGGCCCGGCAGGAACGCGGCCGGAGCCGGGGAGGCGGCACGGGCGGACCCGAGGUGCCGGAGACAACCGGGGCAGCCCCAGCUCGGCGCCUUUCGAUCGCUUCUCGGGGGCUUCGUUUGCAGAAGCAUCACCUAAACCGUGGACGAUACCCCCCAAGUUCCCCCCAACCAUGCAACCCCAAAAGCGUUUUGUCUCUCCCCAGAUAUCCCCGAGCGGCUCCGCUGGAGCGCGGCUGCUCCCCGCAGGAGCUGAUUCCUGGGGGAAUCUGGAUGCUGGGGAUGCAGAGGGUUUUGGCAAGAAAACAAAAGCCGGGGCUGUGCGGGGCUCGGGCUGCGGGGGGGCACGGCCGCGGUGCCGGCCCGGUGCUCCGGGCCCUCCGUGA